rnacentral:lncRNA from 1 species
AACUGUGGAUAAUAAAUUUAUAACUUGAGGAAGUUUUCUUAUAAUGCUAUGGAGAAAAAGGUAUUUCAAACAUUUAAAAAAUGAGAGUAUUCUGGCAUUCUGAAAUAAGGGGAUAAAUCAGAAUCUUUUAUUUAUUCAUAAAACAAAGAGCUUUUUUAUUGUGCAUUGCCAGUGACCUUCACCUCGCAUAAACCGAACAUAGACUCCCCCUCGCCCACCCCUGCAAUCAGCCUUUUCUUCUGCCAAGGAGAAAAGCUGUUGCCAAAUUACUCUGAUUGUCCUCAAUAGUGGACAAAUAAUAAUGGGAAUGCUUUGAACUCAUGAAACACCUUUCAUCCACAAAGCUCAAAACACUUCAAAAAGAAUAACUCACACAUUCACAUAAUCACCCAACCCCUUCUUGGGGAGGGCGGUGGGGGUGGGGUGAAGUGUAGCAAUUAUGUGCUCUACUAUGUUCAGAAGAAGAAAUGAAAACUUACAAAAGUAAAAUAAGGAAGGGAUGAAAAUACCAAGGGUGACUCAAAUGUAUAGAAAGCUUAUUAACUCAGUGAUGUGCAAUUGGUUGAACGUGGAUUUGGGUGAAACAGGUGUGCACCAGGGCUGGGAUGGAGGUGAGGCAAGAGAGGUGCCUCGGACAAUUCUCAGGGCUGCACAAAUGCCUCAUUAAAUUGUGUGCUGGAGGCACCUCCCUUGCUUCAUCCUAGUGCCAGCAGUGUUACCGAUAGAGCAGCAGUUCUGCGUGGUGCAUCAUUGCUGCUUAGCCUUAGAUGCGUGCUUCUGUGUGUGUGUGUAUUUAGGGGGCUUGGGGUGGGGCUGGUGGAUUUUGUUGGCUCCAGACUGGAAGACAGUACUGGCAUCAGAUCAGAGAGAACGUUGACACGAGUCAUGCAAACUACCACGGACAUGCUGGGGUCCAAAGGCAUUAAAUUUGAAAGAGACAGUUCCAGAAUGCCUGCUUGUCGGGAGGAGGAGGUGGAGCUAGGUUGUAAGUACGUUUUGGCCUCCAUAUCUGUAACCUGGACAAGUUCUCUCUCUGGCUCAGGAGGAGAAGGCAAUGGAAUCAAGCCUGCCAAGACUAUAAAAGCUUUUUCAAGACUGUGAUCUGUUAGAUAAACAAUUUUCCUUCUGCUCCUCAUUCCAUAAAUCCACGCUGACUCUGACUGAUUUUUGUGUGUAUCUCAGAAUAUAAAAUCUUCUACUAACCACAAAGUAAUGGGACCUAUUCAUCUAAUUGAUCACCCCUCCACGGUACAAAUAUCCAAAGCAAUGAAGUAAGAGGAGGAAUGCAGAGCUGAGAAAGAUUAGCAGAGCUAUUGCACUUGUUGAAAUCAGUCAGUGAAUAAGAUACUCG